rnacentral:rRNA from 1 species
UCGAUUUGGAGUUUGUUGCCUAGAGUGAUGGGCUCCGAAGCUAACGCGAUAAAUCGACCGCCUGGGGAGUACGGCCGCAAGGUUAAAACUCAAAUGAAUUGACGGGGGCCCGCACAAGCGGUGGAGCAUGUGGUUUAAUUCGAUGCAACGCGAAGAACCUUACCUGGUCUUGACAUCCACAGAAUCUUGCAGAGAUGCGAGAGUGCCUUCGGGAACUGUGAGACAGGUGCUGCAUGGCUGUCGUCAGCUCGUGUUGUGAAAUGUUGGGUUAAGUCCCGCAACGAGCGCAACCCUUAUCCUUUGUUGCCAUUGGUUCGGCCGGGAACUCAAAGGAGACUGCCGUUGAUAAAGCGGAGGAAGGUGGGGACGACGUCAAGUCNUCAUGGCCCUUACGACCAUGGCUACACACGUGCUACAAUGGCGUAUACAAAGGGAGGCGACCUCGCGAGAGCAAGCGGACCUCAUAAAGUACGUCUAAGUCCGGAUUGGAGUCUGCAACUCGACUCCAUGAAGUCGGAAUCGCUAGUAAUCGUGAAUCAGAAUGUCACGGUGAAUACGUUCCCGGGCCU